UGUUUUUUUUAUUCUGUGAUUGACACUCAACUAGUGAAUUCAGACAAUCCGAUCAGAGAGCGAAACAUGCAAAUCUACGAUGCUCACAAGGUCUACUUCGGGGGAGUAGUGGGCGGAGUCAGGUCUACUUCGGGGAAGAAAUGGGCGGAGUCAGGUCUACUUCAGGGAAUACGUGGGCGGAGUCAGGUCUACUUCGGGGAAGAAAUGGGCGGAGUCAGGUCUACUUCGGGGACUACGUGGGCGGAGUCAGGUCUACUUCGGGGAAGAAAUGGGCGGAGUCAGGUCUACUUCGGGGAAUACGUGGGCGGAGUCAGGUCUACUUCGGGGAAGAAGUGGGCGGAAUCCGGGGAGGAUUCAAACAAAAGAUGGCAGCAGAUAAAGAUACAAAUGAAAAUACACAAAAUAAAAUGUCAAAUAACAUUUGAAAAUAUAAAAAAAUUGAUACAGAAUAAACCAACCAUGUAAAGAUACUGUGUUAUUAAGAGUUGUACAUGAAGCAGACGUUGUUCAGUGAUAAAGCUAGCCAGCUAGAAGGUAACUCUGUUACCUCUGACAAUCAAGUGAAGUGACUUCCAUAAACUGGCAUUUUUGUGCAUCACACAGCUGCUCUGGACAAAGUGGAUUGUGAACUAUAUGGUGCGUUGCCGCUGAAUUACAGCAGCAUUUUUAUGAUUUGUUUACACUUCACACAUUAGUAAUGUUGUGAUAAAAGUAAUAAGAAACAUUGCAUCAAACAGAUUCAUUUCCUGAAUUUUGAGGCA